GGUCAAGCGAAUAAGCGCACACGGUGGAUGCCUUGGCGGUCAGAGGCGAUGAAGGACGUGGCAGCCUGCGAAAAGUAUCGGGGAGCUGGCAACAAGCUUUGAUCCGGUAAUGUCCGAAUGGGGAAACCCACCCGCUUGCGGGUAUCCUGCAGUGAAUACAUAGCUGCUGGAAGCGAACCUGGUGAACUGAAAUAUCUAAGUAACCAGAGGAAAAGAAAUCAACCGAGAUUCCGUAAGUAGCGACGAGCGAACGCGGACUAGCCCUUAAGCUGGAUUGGUUCUAGGAAAACGCUCUGGAAAGAGCGGCCAUAGAAGGUGAUAGCCCUGUAUCUGAAAGGGCCAUUCCAGUGAAGACGAGUAGGGCGGGGCACGUGAAACCCUGUCUGAACAUGGGGGGACCAUCCUCCAAGGCUAAAUACUACUGACCGACCGAUAGUGAACCAGUACCGUGAGGGAAAGGCGAAAAGAACCCCGGAGAGGGGAGUGAAAUAGAACCUGAAACCGUGUGCGUACAAGCAGUAGGAGCUCCGCAAGGAGUGACUGCGUACCUUUUGUAUAAUGGGUCAGCGACUUACUGUUCGUGGCAAGCUUAACCGUAUAGGGGAGGCGAAGGGAAACCGAGUCUGAUAAGGGCGCAUAGUCGCGGGCAGUAGACCCGAAACCGGGUGAUCUAGUCAUGCCCAGGGUGAAGGUGCGGUAACACGCACUGGAGGCCCGAACCCACUCCCGUUGCAAAGGUAGGGGAUGAGGUGUGAUUAGGAGUGAAAAGCUAAUCGAACCCGGAGAUAGCUGGUUCUCCUCGAAAGCUAUUUAGGUAGCGCCUCAUAUGUAUCCUCUCGGGGGUAGAGCACUGUUAUGGCUAGGGGGUCAUCGCGACUUACCAAACCAUUGCAAACUCCGAAUACCGAGACGGACUGUAUGGGAGACACACGGCGGGUGCUAACGUCCGUCGUGAAAAGGGAAACAACCCAGACCCACAGCUAAGGUCCCAAAUUUUGUGCUAAGUGGAAAACCAUGUGGAAAGGCACAGACAGCCAGGAGGUUGGCUUAGAAGCAGCCACCCUUUAAAGAAAGCGUAAUAGCUCACUGGUCGAGUCGGUCUGCGGGGAAGAUUUAACGGGGCUAAGCACAGAACCGAAGCUUGGGGUGCAUAACUUUGUUAUGCGCGGUAGAGGAGCGUUCCGUAAGCCGUUGAAGGUGGAUUGAGAAGUCUGCUGGAGGUAUCGGAAGUGCGAAUGCUGACAUGAGUAACGAUAAUGCGGGUGAAAAACCCGCACGCCGAAAGCCCAAGGUUUCCUUGCGCAACGUUAAUCGGCGCAGGGUGAGUCGGCCCCUAAGGCGAGGACGAAAGUCGUAGUCGAUGGGAAGCAGGUUAAUAUUCCUGCACCUCGCGUAAGUGCGAUGGAGGGACGGAGAAGGUUAGGUGUACCAGGCGUUGGUUGUCCUGGGGAAAGGCGGUAGGUUUGGAUCUUUGGCAAAUCCGGGAUCCUUUAAGACCGAGCACCGAGACGAGCCUUUAUGGCGAAGUCACUGAUACCACGCUUCCAGGAAAAGCUCCUAAGCUUCAGCUUACGCAGACCGUACCGUAAACCGACACAGGUGGGUAGGAUGAGAAUUCUCAGGCGCUUGAGAGAACUCGGGUGAAGGAACUAGGCAACAUGGCACCGUAACUUCGGGAGAAGGUGCACCCUUUUUGGUGGCUCGUGCGAGCUAUAGCUGAAGAGGGUCGCAGUAACCAGGCCGCUGCGACUGUUUAUCAAAAACACAGCACUCUGCAAACACGAAAGUGGACGUAUAGGGUGUGACGCCUGCCCGGUGCUGGAAGGUUAAUUGAUGGGGUCAGCCGCAAGGCGAAGCUCUUGAUCGAAGCCCCAGUAAACGGCGGCCGUAACUAUAACGGUCCUAAGGUAGCGAAAUUCCUUGUCGGGUAAGUUCCGACCUGCACGAAUGGCGUAACGACAGCGGCGCUGUCUCCACCCGAGACUCAGUGAAAUUGAAAUCGCUGUGAAGAUGCAGCGUUCCCGUGGCAAGACGGAAAGACCCCGUGAACCUUUACUAUAGCUUUACACUGAACGUUGAGUUCGUCUGUGUAGGAUAGGUGGGAGGCUAUGAAACUGUGGCGCUAGCUGCAGCGGAGCCAUCCUUGAAAUACCACCCUGUCGUGCUUGACGUUCUAACCUGGGCCCAUUAUCUGGGUCGGGGACCGUGUAUGGUGGGUAGUUUGACUGGGGCGGUCUCCUCCUAAAGAGUAACGGAGGAGCUCGAAGGUACGCUCAGCGCGGUCGGACAUCGCGCACUGUGUGCAAAGGCAUAAGCGUGCUUGACUGCAAGAUCGACGGAUCAAGCAGGUAGGAAACUAGGACUUAGUGAUCCGGUGGUUCUGUAUGGAAGGGCCAUCGCUCAACGGAUAAAAGGUACUCCGGGGAUAACAGGCUGAUACCGCCCAAGAGUUCAUAUCGACGGCGGUGUUUGGCACCUCGAUGUCGGCUCAUCACAUCCUGGGGCUGUAGUCGGUCCCAAGGGUAUGGCUGUUCGCCAUUUAAAGUGGUACGCGAGCUGGGUUCAGAACGUCGUGAGACAGUUCGGUCCCUAUCUGCCAUGGGCGUUGGAGAUUUGAGAGGGGCUGCUCCUAGUACGAGAGGACCGGAGUGGACGAACCUCUGGUGUUCCGGUUGUCACGCCAGUGGCAUUGCCGGGUAGCUAUGUUCGGAAGCGAUAACCGCUGAAAGCAUCUAAGCGGGAAGCGCGCCUCAAGAUGAGAUCUCCCGGGGCACAAGCCCCCUGAAGGAACCAUGUAGACUACGUGGUUGAUAGGUCAGGUGUGUAAGUACAGCAAUGUAUUGAGCUAACUGAUACUAAUGAUCCGUGCGGCUUGACCAU
rnacentral:rRNA from 2 species